CAUCUUACGAGGCAGCAUUGGAUUUCAUUACUUUUUCUAAUACUGCCUGGUAAUGAUGAU
rnacentral:pre_miRNA from 3 species